rfam:Leclercia adecarboxylata strain I1 Leclercia_S84_R1__paired__contig_6, whole genome shotgun sequence.
GUGCGGCCUAAAUUUUCCGGCUACGCCAUUAUCUUAAAAAAACAUCUUCAGGCGCAGCCACGAUUUCCCUGGUGUUGGCGCAGUAUUCGCGCACCCCGGUUUAGCC